GCAUGGGAAGUUGAACUAGGAAAACAGUUAACAAAAGAGCAGUGGUCAUAUAUACUGUGUGAGAAUAAAAAACUUACACUUAGCACAGCCCAUCUGGAACUAGCCAGGAAAUUAUUAUAUCGCUGGUACUUAGUACCAACCCGACUGAAACAUAUGAUACCUAAGAAUACAGGACUGUGCUGGAGAUGCAAUAAAGCUCAAGGUUCCAUGCU